CCUUGAUUGUCUUACACUUGAGCAGCCCAGGUUGACCUUGUGAUGUGAAUUGACCUGAUCAGACUUUAUUAAAAACGUUAGUAUGAUAUCUCUGCCUGCUCCCCCGAGUCCACUUUUUCAGCAGUGUCUUCGGAACCUGGAAUCAGCCGUCUAUACCCACUGCCCAGGAGGGGCCGUGAGGGUUCCGGAGAGACCUUGUUUCUUCUCUGCUGCACCUGUUCAUUGUGCCUGGCAGAACACUGGGUAGAUGUUCCCACCAAAGGACUUAAGUUCCAGGACUCAUUAACGCAACACAUACUAAGCCUAUAUUUUCACUGCUGUGUACCAGGAAAUGAACAACAAAGCAAGCAGGUGCGUUUGCCUGCCCCAACAGCCUGUAUCCUCCAUGCCAUAGACAGAAGCUGUGGAGAUCAUGAUGCAGAGAGGGUGAUGGCCUCCAUAGCUGCCCAGGAUUUGCUUCUGCAAAUUUCCAAAGGUUACCUCAACCAUCUUUGCUCAAACCCCUUCACUGUAAUGGAGACAGUGAGCAAGAACAGGACUAGCAAACAAUUUCUGUGCAGUGCCAACAGAGAUUCUCCUGCCUUUACCUCUGAUUGAAGCUGAAUGCUGGGGAUGGAGGCCUAGCCCUCUGAAUCUUGGGCCAGAUGUGGUGGUGCACAACUUUACCAGCCCUCAAGACGUGGAUCUCUGGGAGUUUGAGGCCAGCCUGGUCUACAUAGUGAGCUUCAGGCAAAUCAGGACUGCAAUGGAUGUGGGUCCAGGGAUAGAACUCAGGUCGUCAUGCUUGGUGGCAAGUACCAUUACCCACUGAGCCAUCUUGGCACCCCCACCACCAUCCUGUUCUGAGUCUGAAGACCAAAGAAUUUCUGUUCU
ensembl:processed_transcript Gm11944 predicted gene 11944